GAUGAAGAACGUAGCGAAGUGCGAUAAGUAGUGUGAAUUGCAGAAUUUCGUGAAUCAUCGAAUCUUUGAACGCAAAUUGCACUCUCCGGUUUUCCGGGAGAGUAUGCGUGUUUGAGGGUCAGCCUAAAUAAAUUCGGCUUCGUUGCUGUUGUUUUCGCGGUAACGUUUUUAGUCGGGAUUUGGGUCAUCUUAAACCGAAAGGUUUUUAAGCGACUUAAAAUUUUUUUACGAUCCCACGAACGUUUCUAAGUACUUCUUACACGUUCAAGGUAUCGAAAACCCCUAUUAGGCGUGGCCGUCGUAUCGGAUCGCGUCCAUAAUAUUUAUUCUUUAACUGACCUCAGACAGGUAAGAAUACCCGCUGAACUUAAGCAUAUCAAUAAGCGGAGGA
rnacentral:misc_RNA from 1 species